rnacentral:rRNA from 1 species
CUUACCAUUGCAAGUCGAGCGGGGUGAUGGUGCUUGCACUAUCACCUAGCGGCGGACGGGUGAGUAAUGCUUAGGAAUCUGCCUAUUAGUGGGGGACAACAUUUCGAAAGGAAUGCUAAUACCGCAUACGUCCUACGGGAGAAAGCAGGGGAUCUUCGGACCUUGCGCUAAUAGAUGAGCCUAAGUCGGAUUAGCUAGUUGGUGGGGUAAAGGCCUACCAAGGCGACGAUCUGUAGCGGGUCUGAGAGGAUGAUCCGCCACACUGGGACUGAGACACGGCCCAGACUCCUACGGGAGGCAGCAGUGGGGAAUAUUGGACAAUGGGCGCAAGCCUGAUCCAGCCAUGCCGCGUGUGUGAAGAAGGCCUUAUGGUUGUAAAGCACUUUAAGCGAGGAGGAGGCUACUUUAGAUAAUACCUAGAGAUAGUGGACGUUACUCGCAGAAUAAGCACCGGCUAACUCUGUGCCAGCAGCCGCGGUAAUACAGAGGGUGCAAGCGUUAAUCGGAUUUACUGGGCGUAAAGCGCGCGUAGGCGGCUAAUUAAGUCAAAUGUGAAAUCCCCGAGCUUAACUUGGGAAUUGCAUUCGAUACUGGUUAGCUAGAGUGUGGGAGAGGAUGGUAGAAUUCCAGGUGUAGCGGUGAAAAUGCGUAGAGAUCUGGAGGAAUACCGAUGGCGAAGGCAGCCAUCUGGCCUAACACUGACGCUGAGGUGCGAAAGCAUGGGGAGCAAACAGGAUUAGAUACCCUGGUAGUCCAUGCCGUAAACGAUGUCUACUAGCCGUUGGGGCCUUUGAGGCUUUAUUGGCGCAGCUAACGCGAUAAGUAGACCGCCUGGGGAGUACGGUCGCAAGACUAAAACUUCAAUGAAAUUGACGGGGGCCCGCACAAGCCGUGGAGCA